rnacentral:lncRNA from 1 species
UAGUGUUCCAUCGAUUAAGGAGAUCGUCUUGGUAGUUAAGGGGUAGGUAUUUUUCUUUAAGUCUCUCUUUCACUCUAUCCAAUCAGUUAUUACAUGUUGAUGUCUUCUAGCGAACAGAUGUUCGGUGCUUUGCCAACAAAGUUUAGCUCGACCGAUGAGUUUCAUUCUAGCGAAUCAAACAUUCUUCUCUUUAGACAAAUUAUACCACUCAAAGAAGUGGCCUAUUUCAUGCAACCAGUCUAAAAAGACUUUCGGGUCAAGACGACCGUCAAAAGUGGGGGCUUCAAUCCUAAUGCCUCCCAUUACAUCUUCAUCAGGAUCACGAGGUUCUCUAGGCUCUACGUUAUGUCGGUAACCUCUAUCAAUAUUAGGAAAGGGACCAGGUCCUCUAGGAUGAGGGUAGGCAUGAUGAUGAUUUGCAACAGACCUAUUACUAAAAUUGCCCUGCCGAAUAAAGCCUUAUUGUUUUGGAAUUUGUUCUAGGGUUUCGUCCCCUUCAAGACCCGAUAAAUAGGAGGCACUAGCUUUCAUGGAUUCAAUAACCCUAUGAAGUGAAGCCUCAAUUGAGUCAAGUCGAGCAUUAACCUGGGUGGACAUUGUGGUUAGGUCAUGAAUUUGGGCAUUAUUGGCUUGGACUUGGGCACUAGUGUCUUGGAUAGCUUUUAAUAGAGCUUCGAUUUUGGAAUCCAUAUCUAGUUGGAACUCAGAAUGAGAUGCGACACGACCACUACGUAGAUGCAUAAAAUGAAUGAAGAUAUGUAUGAUCCUACCAACUAUAGAGGUUUCUAAGUAGACCUAAUGCAUGAAAGUAAUUUGAAAUUGCAAAGUAUAUGCUCAAUAUAAUCAGAAGCUAACUCUAGCAAUUGAAAUUGGCUUUGAAUUAUGUAAUAAAUUCAGGAAAGUAGUUGCAGUCAAAUAGUACUAGUUUUCAGUAUGUUGCAGGGCUGCACAGAGCCUCAAAGAAC